CAAGCGUACCCAAGAUGGCAGAUGCCACAUGCGCCCCUGGCCCUUACAGAGGUGCUUUGGAUGUCCUGCACCAUUUGGAGGGGCUAAUCGAGUCCUUUCGGGGCAAGGCUUAAUGCACACCUGCGACCCACUACACUAAGGGACCUGACAGCUGCUGCGAGUUCGCAGACAGCUACUGGGCGAAAGGAGAACAGUCAGUGUCACACCGGGACCUGAAUGGCACGCAGAAGCAGAUCUAGACCCAAGGUGAAGCCUGCAAUACACGCUGGAACUUGGAUCCACCAAGGGUCCACCUGCUGAUCACACAGGACUUACCUCAGUGCCACACAUUACCACUUGAGUGAGCUAUUCAUCUGCGACUCCUGUGAUGAGUCUACAUUCGGUCACCUCAAGGCAUAGGCUGAUUUUACACCCAAGCCAGGGUCUACCUACCUUUGACAUCCCGUCCCAACAAUGAAGCUGCUGAAUCCGCGAUUUAAACGGUUGUCUUGUCUAAUUUCAUGUAUUUCGUAAUGCUUUCAAAAAUAGCCUGUCUAGCCUGCCUGGGUGGCCUCCGGGGGGUUCUUACUCGUUGCUAAACUGUGAUAUUCUUAAAUUCAGCUACUUCACUACUUAACUACUAUUACCUCUAUAGCUGUUACUCUCAGUACAAAUAGGCUACUUACCUCAUACCCCAAUGCUCCACUCAAACUGCACUGUGUCUUUCUCUCCCUUUUUAUUUUCCUUUAAUUAAUUAAAAAAUGUGCUGCUUCUUCUAUACACUUCAACUGAC